ACCCAGCCCCGAUUGCAGCGAAAAUCCUUUUUUGAAAAAAAAGAUUGUAGCGGAAAGCGGGAAAUAGC
rnacentral:sRNA from 1 species